rfam:[Bacillus] aminovorans strain DSM 1314 DSM1314_contig_2, whole genome shotgun sequence.
AGAACCUUUAAGAACAGUCCGGAGAGGCUGGGAAGGGAUCGGAUAAAAUGCGGUAUAUGUAAUACCGCAUACGUAGGGAUCAGUACGCCUUCUCACCGUAACGGGUGAGGAGGCUUUUUUGU